CUCCUCAUGAGACUUCUUUGGAUAAUGCUUGACCCUGAGUGGCACCAAAAAUAAUUCUGCAUAUUACAACCAGUGGCCUUUUACAUUUGAUGGAAUGCUAUAUUAUCCAUGACUACUCUGCUUCCACCAAAAGAUUAACUGUGCAAAAUAAGGGGAAGAAAGGCUCACAAACCACCCUGAAUGGACAGGAGAAGACAAAAACAUCACCCUCUGAUUAAUCUUUGCAAUAUUGUCAGGGAGAAAUGGAGAUGUGAAAUAAAUGCUGAAACACGGGAUCCAUCUUUUCAUACCCCGCUUGGAAGGAAGCCAGUUCCUUUAGAAAAUGACCAUAAGGUGGAGGCAAUAAUAGAAACUA